CGGCGGACGGGUGAGUAACACGUGGGUAACCUACCUAUAAGACUGGGACAACUUCGGGAAACCGGAGCUAAUACCGGAUAAGAUAUCGAACCGCAUGGUUCUAUAGUGAAAGAUGGUUUUGCUAUCACUUAUAGAUGGACCCGCGCCGUAUUAGCUAGUUGGUGAGGUAACGGCUCACCAAGGCAACGAUACGUAGCCGACCUGAGAGGGUGAUCGGCCACACUGGAACUGAGACACGGUCCAGACUCCUACGGGAGGCAGCAGGG
rnacentral:rRNA from 1 species